rnacentral:rRNA from 1 species
CUUCGGCUGCGAACCCAGUGGCGGACGGGUGAGUAACGCGUAGGAAUCUACCUGGUAGUGGGGAUAACUCGAGGAAACUCGGGCUAAUACCGCAUACGACCCAAGGGUGAAAGCGGGGGAUCUUCGGACCUCGCGCUAUCAGAGGAGCCUGCGUUGGAUUAGCUUGUUGGUGGGGUAAUGGCCUACCAAGGCGACGAUCCAUAGCUGGUCUGAGAGGAUGAUCAGCCACACUGGAACUGAGACACGGUCCAGACUUCUACGGAAGGCAGCAGUA